GCCGCUUUAGCUCAGUUGGUAGAGCAACUGAUUUGUAAUCAGUAGGUCGCUGGUUCGACUCCGGCAAGCGGCU
rnacentral:tRNA from 2 species